rnacentral:rRNA from 1 species
UACAGAGGUCUCAAGCGUUGUUCGGAUUCAUUGGGCGUAAAGGGUGCGCAGGCGGCGGGGCAAGUCGGACGUGAAAUCCCGGGGCUUAACCCCGGAACUGCGUUCGAUACUGCCCUGCUCGAGGACUGGAGAGGAGACUGGAAUUCCUGGUGUAGCAGUGAAAUGCGUAGAUAUCAGGAGGAACGCCAACGGCGAAGGCAAGUCUCUGGGCUGACACUGACGCUCAUGCACGAAAGCGUGGGGAGCAAACAGG